rnacentral:misc_RNA from 1 species
AAGUCGUAACAAGGUUUCCGUAGGUGAACCUGCGGAAGGAUCAUUAUCGAGUUAGGGUCUUUAUGGCCCGACCUCCCAACCCUGUGUCUACAUUACCACGUUGCUUCGGCGAGCCCGCUGCUUGUAAAAGAGUGGCCGCCGGAGGGUGUUACACCCCUCUGGUCCGUGCUCGUCGAUAGCCCAACACGAACCCUUGAUCAAUUAUGUUGUCUGAGUAGCAAACAAAAUAAAAUAAAA